CGUGCUUGCACUGAUUUUAACAAUGAAGCGAGUGGCGAACUGGUGAGUAACACGUGGGAAAUCUGCCCAGAAGCAGGGGAUAACACUUGGAAACAGGUGCUAAUACCGUAUAACAACAAAAUCCGCAUGGAUUUUGUUUGAAAGGUGGCUUCGGCUAUCACUUCUGGAUGAUCCCGCGGCGUAUUAGUUAGUUGGUGAGGUAAAGGCCCACCAAGACAAUGAUACGUAGCCGACCUGAGAGGGUAAUCGGCCACAUUGGGACUGAGACACGGCCCAAACUCCUACGGGAGGCAGCAGUAGGGAAUCUUCCACAAUGGACGAAAGUCUGAUGGAGCAAUGCCGCGUGAGUGAAGAAGGGUUUCGGCUCGUAAAACUCUGUUGUUAAAGAAGAACACCUUUGAGAGUAACUGUUCAAGGGUUGACGGUAUUUAACCAGAAAGCCACGGCUAACUACGUGCCAGCAGCCGCGGUAAUACGUAGGUGGCAAGCGUUGUCCGGAUUUAUUGGGCGUAAAGCGAGCGCAGGCGGUUUUUUAAGUCUGAUGUGAAAGCCUUCGGCUUAACCGGAGAAGUGCAUCGGAAACUGGGAGACUUGAGUGCAGAAGAGGACAGUGGAACUCCAUGUGUAGCGGUGGAAUGCGUAGAUAUAUGGAAGAACACCAGUGGCGAAGGCGGCUGUCUAGUCUGUAACUGACGCUGAGGCUCGAAAGCAUGGGUAGCGAACAGGAUUAGAUACCCUGGUAGUCCAUGCCGUAAACGAUGAGUGCUAAGUGUUGGAGGGUUUCCGCCCUUCAGUGCUGCAGCUAACGCAUUAAGCACUCCGCCUGGGGAGUACGACCGCAAGGUUGAAACUCAAAGGAAUUGACGGGGGCCCGCACAAGCGGUGGAGCAUGUGGUUUAAUUCGAAGCUACGCGAAGAACCUUACCAGGUCUUGACAUCUUCUGCCAAUCUUAGAGAUAAGACGUUCCCUUCGGGGACAGAAUGACAGGUGGUGCAUGGUUGUCGUCAGCUCGUGUCCUGAAAAUUUUGGGUUAAUUCCCGCAACGAACC
rnacentral:rRNA from 1 species